GGGACGCAGUAAAACAUUAGUAACCGUGAGGAGCCGUGUAACAGUUCCGCUCACUUUUAGAGGACCGCCCCUAACUUCCGGGUUUGAAUGGCUAAAAUUCCGCGCCAGUACAUUUUAAACUCACGUUGAGCCGGCUGGGUUUUUAAAACGCAAACAUUGUCUGUCAUUUACUGAUAUUACGACCAAGCAGCGGAGUUAGCAGCUAAACGUGGUUAUUGGAGUUAAUAUGGACGUUACUGUGGGUUUAUUGAUGGUCUUUGCCGCAGGAGGAUCUGCCAGUCACCAGAAUCCAUCAGUUGAAGUACAAGAAGGCCAUAACUUGACUCUAAAGUGUCCUGAAAAACCCUCGAACAACAGCUUGGAGAACUGGGAUUGGAAGAGAAUCGAUGACCCCACAAACGUUGCCAAAAGUGUCAUCUUCUCCCAUCGGAGAGGCAUCGACCAUCCUCAACCACAGAUGGAGCAAUACAAAAACAGGGCGCUUGUUAACAAGGAGGACCUGCGCAGAGGAGUGCUGGCUCUAACGAUCACCUCAGUGCGGCAGGCUGACGGUGGGCGCUACAGAUGUCACAUCCCAGGCCUGGGGAGCUUUGAUUUUACAGUUGUUGUGAAAAAUGACAGUGGAACAGAGUUUACUACACCAACACCAACGAUGGAUCCAGAUGCAACCAAGGAGAAGCACAUGGUUACUGCCAUUACUGUUCCCGUGGGCCUUGGUGUCGCCAUUGCUGUCGUUUUCAUCCUCAUGAGAUGCAGGAAGAAAUGGAAUGUCAAGACGCACAGAGGAAGCAGGGACCAAGACAACCAGUAUGGACCGGUAACAAUGAUGCCAGCAAGAGAAGACGAGAACGAUGCUGCAGCAAACGGAAACGACCCUCCAGUUGUUGUGAUAAAUGGACUGAGAGGCUGACGUCUAGAAGCAUUAUUAGACAAAAACUCCAUUUCCAGGAGAAAAAAAAGGCCAUGAAUUAUGACGGCUUAAGAGCUUGUCUCUUUUAAAAAUUUUUAAAAUAAUACUCAUUUCCCACUGGCUGUAGUGGAAGACAUCACUAAUUUAUUUUUUUACAGCACUUUAGGCUUAUUUAUUGUGAAAACUGUGAAUGGACACGGUUCAUUCACAGUUCCAUAAAAUUAUGCUGAACAUUUUGAUAUGUGUGAAACACGCGUCACACAGAGAUCAGCCACAACAUUAAAACUACUGAGAGAUGACCACUCCGCUCCGCUCCGGCUUCCUCCCACAUGCUAAAGACAUGCUGCAUUAAUUGGUCACUGUAAAUAGCCCGUAGCUGUGAGUGUCACUGGUUGUCUCUGUGUGUUGCCCUGUGAUGGUUGGCGGCCUGUCCAGGGUGUACCCUGCCUCUCACCCCC
rnacentral:lncRNA from 1 species